rnacentral:rRNA from 1 species
CACAGGGAGGUAGUGACAAGAAAUAACAAUACAGGGCUACUGUCUUGUAAUUGGAAUGAUGGCGACCCAAACCCUCGCCAGAGUACCAAUUGGAGGGCAAGUCUGGUGCCAGCAGCCGCGGUAAUUCCAGCUCCAAUAGCGUAUAUUAAACUUGUUGCAGUUAAAAAGCUCGUAGUUGAACUUCGGCCUUGCGCGUCCUGCGGGUCUGCGCGCGGCCUUUGCGUUACUUUGAGAAAAUUANAGUGUUUCAAGCAGGCUUUCGCCGUGAAUACUUGACAUGGAAUAACUGGGCAGGACCUUGGUUCUUCUUUGUUGGUUCUUCUUUGUUGGUUUUGUACCUGGGUAAUGGUUAAUA